rnacentral:lncRNA from 10 species
CAGGUGAAUCUGUAAAACAAAGUCCUGCGCUACCGGUGAGAAGGGGAUAAUGAAAACAAAUUGACAGAAGUUGCAUCGGGCAUGGAGGUUAAAAAGGAAGCUUUUCCUGCAUUUUUUAGGCUGUUAGAUUCACAACAAAAUUGAGAGGAGGAUAUGAAGAUUUCCCAAAUACUCCCUGCCCUCACACAUGCAUAGCCUCCCCAUGAUCAACAUCUCCUACGGAAGUGCCACAUUUGUUACAAUUGAUGGACCUACAUUGACACAUUGUUAUCAUCCAAAGUCCAUAGUUUACAUUUAAGUUCGCUAUUGAUGCUGUAUAGACUAUGUUCAGACAAAUGUAUAAUGACACCUGUUCACCAUUAUAGUAUCAUAGAGUAAUUUCACUGACUUAAAAACCCUGAGUUCCCCCUAACCCUUGGCAAGUACUGGUUGUUGUACUGUUUCCAUAGUUUUAAUUUUUCCAGAGUUUCACAUAGUUGGAAUCAUACUGUAAGUAUCCUUUUCAGAUUGGUUUCUUUCAAUUAAUGACAUGCAUUUAAGCUUCUAUUUUCUGUGACUUUAUAACUUUUUUAUUUUUGCACCAAAUAAUAUUUCAUUGUUUGGAUAUACCAGAGUUUAUUUACCUGUUCACCUACUGAAGAACAUCUUGGUUACUUUGGCAAUUAUAAAUAAAACUGCUAUCAAU